AUCCUGAAGGAAGAACUUUCUAUAAUCAUGAUAAUAUACACUUAAAGGUAUAUAGCCAUGUACAAAUUCCACACUUUACGUUGCAAUGAAUAUAAUUAUACCCCACCAAACAAAGUUUGGGGGUAUAUAGGAAUCAUUUUGGCCAUAUGUCCAUGCAGUAUUGUCUGGACUAUAACUUUGUAAUGGCGAAUCACUGAAAAUUCAUACUUUGUACAGAGAUUGCUUAUGUCCUUUGGGUGUGUCUUGACCUUGAUCCAAAGUCAUUUGGGCAAGUUCAAGGUCACUAGUAGAAAAAAGUAUAAAAUUCUUGUCUGGGCUAUAUAACUUGGAUUUUGUAAUGGAGAAUCACUAGAAGUUCAUACUUGGUACAUAGAUUGCUUAUGAUCCAAGAGUGUGUCUUGAAAGUCAACUAUCUGAACAAAGACUAAAUAAAUCUUAGAAAGUCAGCUAACUGAACACAGACUAAAGUCAACUAUCUGAACACAGACUAACUAUAGUCAACUAUUUGAACACAGACUAAAUAAAGCUUAGAAUGUCAACUACCUAAACACAGACUAACUAAAGCGUAGAAAGUCAACUAAUUGAACACAGACUAAAUAAAGCUUAGAAAAGUCAACUAUAUAAACACAGACUAACUAAAAGCUUAGAAAGUCAACUAUCUUGAACACAGAAUGAAUAAAACUUAGAAAUUCAACUAUCUGAACACAGACUAAUUAAACCUUAGAAGUCAAAUAUAUGAACACCAACUAACUACAUGUACCUGAACACAGACUGACUCAAUUUACUUUAGAAAGUCCACUAUCUGAACACAAACUAACUUAAGGUUAGAAAGUCACUAUCUGAACACACACUAACUUUAGGUUAGAAAGCUCACUAUCUGAACACAGUCCAACUUUAGGUUAGAAAGCCCACUAUCUGAACACAGUCCAACUUUAGGUUAGAAAGUCCACUAUUUGAACACAGAUUAACUUUAGGUUAGAAAGCCCACUAUCUGAACACAGUCCAACUUUAGGUUAGAAAGGCCACUAUUUGAACACAGAUUAAUUUUAGAUUAGUAAGUCCACUAUUUGAACACAGACUUACCUUAGGUUAGAAGUCCACUAUCUGAACACAGAUUAACUUUAGGUUAGAAAGUCCACUAUUUGAACACAGACUAACCUUAGGUUAGGAAGUCCACUAUCUGAACACAGUUCAACUUUAGGUUAGAAAGUCCAUUAUUUGAACACAGAUUAACUUUAGGUUAGAAAGUCCACUAUCUGAACACAGUCCAACUUUAGGUUAGAAAGUCAACUAUCUGAACACAGUUCAACUUCAGGUUAGAAAGUCCACUAUCUGAACACAGUCCAACUUUAGGUUAGAAAGUCCACUAUCUGAACACACACUAACUUAUAGGUUAGAAAGUCAACUAUCUGAACACAGACUACAUUUAAUGUAGCUGAAAAAGUCAACGUUUUAACACAGACUAAAGAAAGCUUAGAAUCAUACAUACAAUGAUAUUUUGUAAAUUUUAACUUCUAUAAUAUGUUAACUAUAUUGUAAAUAAUCUGUGAUUUCAAAGGUAAAAUAAAGAAUGUUUGAUGACUGUGAUUACCUCUCCCAUAGCACUCUUUUAGCCCUAUUAUUCAUGGCUUCAUUACUAAACUUUCUCGAGAACCCUGUAUGGAAAGUGGAUUUGAGAAUUACAUACAUGAAAAGAGAAUAUAUGCAUAUGUGAUAAUCAAACCUUGCUCAAUUACGCAAUAUUUUCUGUCCUUUUUUGUUUAUCCAUUUUCAUUUAUGAAUGUAGAUUUUGCACAGUUUAAUGGGUGUGUGUCAGGAUUAUGUUGUAAAAUUAUGCCAUUGCAUGUUAAGUAAUUCUUUUGACAAAAUAUGAGAUGUGAAACACUGACGACUUUUAUGAAGUUUUUAUCAUCUACUCAGUAUUAAAGUUGUUGAAUUCCUGAAA